rnacentral:rRNA from 1 species
UAGCUUGCUAAUGAAAUUCUUAGUGGCGGACGGGUUAGUAACACGUGAGAAUCCUACCCUUGAGUGGGGAAUAGCCUUUCGAAAGGAAGAUUAAUGCCCCAUAGUCUCUACGGAGUAAAGAUGCCUUCGGGUGUCGCUUAAGGAUGGGCUCGCGGCCUAUCAGCUAGUUGGUGAGGUAAGAGCUCACCAAGGCAACGACGGGUAGCUGGUCUGAGAGGACGAUCAGCAACACUGGAACUGAGACACGGUCCAGACACCUACGGGUGGCAGCAGUCGAGAAUCAUUCACAAUGGACGAAAGUCUGAUGGUGCAACGCCGCGUGGAGGAUGACGGCCCUAGGGUUGUAAACUCCUGUCAUCAGGGAGUAAGACUUAUUCGUUAAUAGCGUGUAAGUUUGAUAGUACCUGAAGAGGAAGGGACGGCUAACUUCGUGCCAGCAGCCGCGGUAAUACGAAGGUCCCAAGCGUUGUUCGGAAUAACUGGGCGUAAAGCGUGUGUAGGCCGCGCGGAAAGU